rnacentral:rRNA from 1 species
UACGAAAGGUGCAAGCGUUACUCGGAAUCACUGGGCGUAAAGCGCGCGUAGGCGGACCUGCAAGUCGGGGGUGAAAGCCCGAGGCUCAACCUCGGAACUGCCUUCGAUACUGCGGGUCUCGAGUCCGGGAGAGGUGAGUGGAAUUCCUAGUGUAGAGGUGAAAUUCGUAGAUAUUAGGAAGAACACCAGUGGCGAAGGCGGCUCACUGGCCCGGUACUGACGCUGAGGCGCGAAAGCGUGGGGAGCAAACAGG